rnacentral:misc_RNA from 1 species
GGAAGUAAAAGUCCUAACAAGGUUUCCGUAGGUGAACCUGCGGAAGGAUCAUUAUUGUAUAACCGAGGUGCGAGGGCUGUCGCUGACCCGAAAGGUCGUGCACGCCCGAGUGCCCUCACACACAUCCAUCUCACCCCUAUGUGCACCACCGCGUGGGUCCCCCUUUGGCUUGUUCGGAGGGGGGCUUACGUUUUCACACAAACUUUGUAUGCAGUGUAGAAUGUAUUUUUUGUUUUUGCGAUCACGCAAUCAAUACAACUUUCAACAACGGAUCUCUUGGCUCUC